UACAGAGGUGCCAAGCGUUAGGCGGAAUCACUGGGCUUAAAGCGCGCGUAGGCGGAUGUUUAAGUGUCUUGUGAAAUCCCACGGCUCAACCGUGGAACUGCUGGGCAUACUGGACAUCUCGAGGCACUCAGGGGCGAGCGGAACAAGUGGUGGAGCGGUGAAAUGCGUAGAUAUCACUUGGAACGCCAAUGGUGAAGACAGCUCGCUGGGGGUGUCCUGACGCUGAGGUGCGAAAGCCAGGGGAGCGAACGGG
rnacentral:rRNA from 1 species